GGCGCUGUGGCUCAAGUGGUAGAGCACUUGCCUUGGACACAAGAGGCUCAAGGACAGUGUCC
rnacentral:tRNA from 1 species